UACGAAGGGGGCUAGCGUUGCUCGGAAUCACUGGGCGUAAAGGGUGCGUAGGCGGGUCUUUAAGUCAGGGGUGAAAUCCUGGAGCUCAACUCCAGAACUGCCUUUGAUACUGAAGAUCUUGAGUUCGGGAGAGGUGAGUGGAACUGCGAGUGUAGAGGUGAAAUUCGUAGAUAUUCGCAAGAACACCAGUGGCGAAGGCGGCUCACUGGCCCGAUACUGACGCUGAGGCACGAAAGCGUGGGGAGCAAACCGGG
rnacentral:rRNA from 1 species